UGAUGAUGGUGAGGGCAAUUUCUGACCAUACUUUUAAAUCUCUCCCAAGUUUGGUAGAUACUCUCUCUUUUCUCCUUUCUAAAACUCAAGAUCUCAUUUCUCAAGCA